rnacentral:lncRNA from 1 species
UGGUAUGGAGAAUGGCGACGAUUAGAAGGGUAGGAGAGGAAGGGAUGAAGAAAUUCAUGUGUUUUGGAUGAAAAUCUUCAUCAAGCAAUGAUACAAUUCCAUUCUUGGCACCAUUUCCUCCAUUGUAAGUAUAAAAUCCAUCAUCAUACAUGUUUUUUCCUUCUUGUGGAAUACAAAUGGGUUGUGGAUGACGGUGAAUGAAAUUGGUUGGUAAUUAUGAAUGAAUCUUAGCAUUUUAUGCGAAUCUUAGUAGAAGUUGUCCUUAUAAUUGAUUAUUGAAUUGGAAUGUAUAUUAGUUUUAUGAAAUUAGCAAGUUAGAUUCUUAGAGGGUAGGAUGAUGAGUGUCGAAUUCGUGGUAAAAUCCAUAAUCAUAUUUGGCUAAAUUGUUAAAUAAAUUGAAAGAACUAGAGGUUAUGCUAUGUUUAGUGUUUAUGAAUGAUUGGUAUUUUGUUUUGGAAAGAAACAUGGUGAUUGAUACCAUGAACUAGGAAGUUAAGCAUGUGAUACUUGUACUUUGUGCUUUACAUUUGGUACACACACCAAUCAUUUGAUGAAAUGCGUAGGUGACAAUAAUAGGUGAAACUAUAUGCAAGUAAUGGAUAAAUAGGUAUAGAAUGUGAUAAUGAUGUAAUUGAUAGUAAACUAACACGAGGAGUGUGUUUUAGAUGGAGUUCACACGGAAAUUGAAUUCGUUAGUAUGAUGUAGUAGAAACAUGCACUAGGAGCUUGUACCCUAUGCUUGAAUGGUCAUGAGAACUUACUAGUAAGGGAUAAUGUUGGAAUUAUGUUGUGUUAGAUAAGCAUGGGUUAUGUUUAGGGGUGCAAAUGAGCCGAGCGGCUCGUGAGCUACUCGUGAUCGGCUAGAGAAAAAGAUUGAAACGAGCCGAGCCUUAUCGAGCCUGAGCCGAGCUUGUGCCUAAAAUAAAGCUUGUUUAUUUAUCGAGCCCGAGCUCGAGCCUUAGUGUAAACGAACUGAGCCAAGCCGAGCUUAUAUAAACUUGUUUACGAGCUGAACCUGCACCUAAAAAUAAGUUUGUUUAGUAAACGAGCUCGAGCCCGAACUUCACUUAUCGAGCUCACGAACCUAAAGGUCUAUUAUUUACAAUAUUUUAUUUAAUAUAUUAAUUAAUAGAUAGUAAUCGAUUCGAGCUCGAGCUUGAGAAAAUACCAACGAGCCAAACUUGAGCUUUGAAAACAAAGCUCGAAUCUAGCCAAGCUCGAGCUCUUAUAAGUUAAUCGAGCUCGAGCCUGGUCGAGCUCGUUUGCCAAUAGUGUCAUGAACAUGAUUACAUGAAAGAAUAUGAAUUAUGUCAAGAUCUCAACCAUGGAAGCCUAACGAGUCCAGAUGAGGUAAGAAAACAAGCACGGACAUGGCAACUCGAGGUGUGAUUCCCGACUUUAACUCCAUUUAAGUUAAUGAAAGUAUACAUAUAUAUGCAUGAGGUAUGGGAAUCAUGCAAGGAUGAGUAUAUGAAAGGAUGAAUAUAUAAUAAUGGGGCCAAGAUAUGGAAUGUAGUAAUGGAUCCAAUGUUGGGUAACUACACUUGAAUCCAAAUGGUGGGAACAAACGGGUCAUUCACAGGAAGACAAAUUAGAAAAAGAGAUUUACCUGGAUGUUGGAAUAAUGGAGUUAGUAUUGGGGUGAUAUAGGUCCUUGAAAGAACAUUUGAAAACUUUAAAUUUACGUAUCGGGAGUCGUGAGAAUUGUUAACAGGGCUUGAAAAUGGGAAAAAAACUCAAAAAUCCACAUGAGGGAUCAACAGGGGCGUCACUGACGGCUUAGCCUAGUUUUACCCGUUUUCUUCGACACUGAUCCCCGUAGCUCCUUUCCAAAGCCCUGUUAAGCUUCCAAAGUGCACCAUAAAACUAUCAAUGGGAUUUGUAAGGUGCAAGUGAGGAUGAAACUUGUAUGUAUGGAUGGAUGUAUGGGAUUUAAUUGUGUAUAUGUAAAUGGGACUUGUAUGUGUGCUUGGGUGUAUGGAAUUCAUAUGUAUGUAUGUGGAUGAGACUUGUAUUUAUGUAGGUAGUAUGUAUGCAUUUUGUUUGUACGUAAGUAGAUGAGAAUUGUAUGAAAGUAUGUUUUGG